rfam:Lactobacillus kunkeei strain LAko contig006, whole genome shotgun sequence.
UUGGGAGUAGGUAGUUAUGCGUAAAGUGCAGACGGAACGGAAUGUGAACGUCUGACGAAAACUUAGGUUGCGAUGUAACUGCCGCAUUCGCCACA